rnacentral:rRNA from 1 species
GACGAACGCUGGCGGCAUGCCUAACACAUGCAAGUCGAACGAGACCUUCGGGUCUAGUGGCGCACGGGUGCGAUACGCGUGGGAACCUGCCCUUAGGUUCGGAAUAACUCCCCGAAAGGGGUGCUAAUACCGGAUAAUGUCUUCGGACCAAAGAUUUAUCGCCUUUGGAUGGGCCCGCGUUGGAUUAGCUAGUUGGUAGGGUAAAAGCCUACCAAGGCGACGAUCCAUAGCUGGUCUGAGAGGAUGAUCAGCCACACUGGGACUGAGACACGGCCCAGACUCCUACGGGAGGCAGCAGUGGGGAAUAUUGGACAAUGGGCGAAAGCCUGAUCCAGCAAUGCCGCGUGAGUGAUGAAGGCCUUAGGGUUGUAAAGCUCUUUUACCCGGGAUGAUAAUGACAGUACCGGGAGAAUAAGCUCCGGCUAACUCCGUG